rnacentral:rRNA from 1 species
AUGGAAAAGCGCGAAGCGCUACUCAAUGCCAAAGUGAGAGAUCUUGCCGCCCGGGAACAAACCCGUACUACAACUCUCCAUGGCAAGGACAUAGAAAUUGAAGCACUCCUCAAGCAGCAGACCCAAGGGCUGGAGGAUAGUCAUAAGAAAUCCAUCGAGACCCAAGCCUUGGAAAACGCUGCAAAGCUUAAGGAAGUUGCUAAUGAAGCUGCCGCUGUUACUACUGCCAAGGAAGAUCUUGAAAUCCAGGUGGGAAAAUUGAAAGAAGAUCUUGUCGACAGCGGCAAAGAGAUCGAGGCCCUCAAAGGCGAAGCGCAGAAAGCAACCCUUGCUCUGGGGGAACUGCAGUCACAAAUUUUGGCCAAGGAUCAAGAACUAAAUGAUGCCGCCAUCAUAGCCGAAGACGUAAAAUCCAAACUUGCCGGCCUGGAAUCGAAUCUUGAAUCCACGAAGGAAUGGGAUAAACUCUCGGCGGAGAAGCUUGCCGCAUCGGAAACUCUCCAGAAGAAUACUGAGGCCAACUUGCAUAGCUGCAUGAGAUGCAUUCCAUCUGGACGAUGA